rnacentral:lncRNA from 1 species
UUUUGGAAUGAAAUUAUAUUAAAUGAAAGCUUCAAAUACAUGUAAUAAUUUUAUUGUCCACUCAUGAUAUAUUAGUUGUUGACCACAUCAUGGUAACAAAAACAUGAUUUAUUCUAUUUUUAUUCUCAACAACAUGAUAUACAUAAAUACGGAAACUCGGCUUGGCAAUUGCAACAUUUGAAUUUUUUGCAUAAUCCAAAGCAACCUGAAAUUAUUAAAACAAAUACUUUUCAUUUAUCAAAAAAUUAAAACUUUAUCGUAAAGACUCCUCAUAUAAUAAAAGAAAGCAUGAAGAGCCAACGUGAAUCAACGAGAGAGUAUGUAUUAGGAAACCGAAAUUUUACUUAUAAAAUAAUUAUACUUAGAAGAAUUUCAAUCAUGUAACAUAAUUUUAUUUAAAACUAUCAGAAAAUUCUGAUAUCCAAAUAUCAAAUUUAAACAUUCCAAAUGUGAUGUGAUUUUUGAAUAGUUUAACACAGUAAAAAUUAUGUAGAUGCUUAGUUAUAUAUGCACAUUUCGAGUUGAAAUAUUUUUUUUAUUAAUAUGAAGACAAUAACAAUAAUAAGGAAAAAUGGUUAGAACUGCCCUUAACGUAUUGAGUCCUGUUUAAAAAUGCCCCUCACCUAUUUUGAAAAAAAUGCCUUACCGUUAAAAAUUUGGCAUAUUUGUGCCCCUAAGUCUAACAAUUGACUGUACUUAUAUUUAAAACGGUAGGGGCAUUUUUUUCAAAAUAGGUUAACGGUAGGGGCAUUUUUAAACUAGAGUCAAUACGUUUUCAAAAUAGGUUAACGGUAGGAGGCCUCUACCAUUAAAAAAUUAGCAUAUUUGUGCCCCUAAGUCUAACAACUGACUGUACUUAUAUUUGAAACAAUAGGGACAUUUUUUUCAAAAUAGGGUAACGGUAGGGGCAUUUUAAAACUAGAGUCAAUACGUUAUGGGCACAAAUAUGCCUGAAUUUUAACGGUAGGGGCAUUUUUUUCAAAAUAGGUUAACUGAGAGCAUUUUUAAACUGGCGUCAAUACGUUAGGGGCAGUUCUGACCCUUUUCCGUAAUAAUACUAAUAAAAAGGUAAAAAAUUUCUUAAACUAAGUUACCUGAAACAGACACACGAGUACUACGACUUGCAGUAGACAUUUUUAAUGACAUUAUCGGAGAUGUUGCUUCUGAUGCAGGUGAUAGUUCUGGUGCAUACACUGGUCCUAGUGUUGCUAGAGUUAAUGGAGAAAAAAGAACAAAGAGGACAAUAAUAAAAUUAGUUGAUUUUGCCAUCUUAAACAAUUAUUUCUUUUGCUUGUA